UUACAAAAAGUUUUACUCUC
rnacentral:snRNA from 1 species